rnacentral:rRNA from 1 species
CAGCCGCCGCGGUAAUACGUAGGUGGCAAGCGUUGUCCGGAAUUAUUGGGCGUAAAGCGCGCGCAGGUGGUUUAAUAAGUCUGAUGUGAAAGCCCACGGCCCAACCGUGGAGGGUCAUUGGAAACUGUUAAACUUGAGUGCAGGAGAGAAAAGUGGAAUUCCUAGUGUAGCGGUGAAAUGCGUAGAGAUUAGGAGGAACACCAGUGGCGAAGGCGGCUUUUUGGCCUGUAACUGACACUGAGGCGCGAAAGCGUGGGGAGCAAACAGGAUUAGAUACCCCCGUAGUCCCUGUCUCUUAUAC